rnacentral:snRNA from 1 species
UCGGGGCAAGAGCCAGGC